GGGAUAACUACUGGAAACGGUAGCUAAUACCGCAUAACGUCGCAAGACCAAAGAGGGGGACCUUCGGGCCUCUUGCCAUCGGAUGUGCCCAGAUGGGAUUAGCUAGUAGGUGGGGUAACGGCUCACCUAGGCGACGAUCCCUAGCUGGUCUGAGAGGAUGACCAGCCACACUGGAACUGAGACACGGUCCAGACUCCUACGGGAGGCAGCAGUGGGGAAUAUUGCACAAUGGGCGCAAGCCUGAUG
rnacentral:rRNA from 1 species